UGUGUAGGUGGCGCCGUAAGUCGGGUGUGAAAUCUCGGGGCUUAACUCCGAAACUGCAUUCGAUACUGCGGUGCUUGAGGACUGGAGAGGAGACUGGAAUUCAUGGUGUAGCAGUGAAAUGCGUAGAGAUCAUGAGGAAGACCAGUGGCGAAGGCGGGUCUCUGGACAGUUCCUGACACUGAGACACGAAGGCCAGGGGAGCAAACG
rnacentral:rRNA from 1 species